AUUGAACGCUGGCGGCAUGCCUUACACAUGCAAGUCGAACGGCAGCACGGGUGCUUGCACCUGGUGGCGAGUGGCGAACGGGUGAGUAAUACAUCGGAACGUACCUUAUCGUGGGGGAUAACGCAGCGAAAGCUGUGCUAAUACCGCAUACGCCCUGAGGGGGAAAGCGGGGGAUCGCAAGACCUCGCGCGAUUAGAGCGGCCGAUGCCUGAUUAGCUUGUUGGUGGGGGAAAAGCCCACCAAGGCGAAGAUCAGUAGCUGGUCUGAGAGGACGAUCAGCCACACUGGGACUGAGACACGGCCCAGACUCCUACGGGAGGCAGCAGUGGGGAAUUUUGGACAAUGGGGGCAACCCUGAUCCAGCAAUGCCGCGUGAGUGAAGAAGGCCUUCGGGUUGUAAAGCUCUUUUGUCAGGGAAGAAACACCGGCUCUAACACAGUCUGGGAAUGACGGUACCUGAAGAAUAAGCACCGGCUAACUACGUGCCAGCCGCCGCAGUAA
rnacentral:rRNA from 1 species